rnacentral:rRNA from 1 species
UACGUAGGGGGCUAGCGUUGUCCGGAAUCAUUGGGCGUAAAGCGCGUGUAGGCGGUUCGGUAAGUCCGCUGUGAAAGUCGGGGGCUCAACCCUCGGACGCCGGUGGAAACUGUCGGACUAGAGUACGGAAGAGGCGAGUGGAAUUCCUGGUGUAGCGGUGAAAUGCGCAGAUAUCAGGAGGAACACCGAUUGCGAAGGCAGCUCGCUGGGACGUUACUGACGCUGAGACGCGAAAGCGUGGGGAGCAAACAGG